rnacentral:piRNA from 1 species
UGCUGUCUUACAGUAAGUGAGGAAA